CUUCACCGACCCCAACCACAACGGAUCCCCACCCCCACGACCCCGCCCAUACGUCGCCAACAACGCCUGCGCCUC
rfam:Streptomyces sp. CB01580 scaffold17, whole genome shotgun sequence.